rnacentral:lncRNA from 1 species
CCUGUGGCCACGCAGUAAAGCAGCAGGUGAACAAGAAGAAAGCCCAAGUUCCCCAACAGUUUUCAACCACAUCACGCUGCCUUGCACAAUAAUACACAAAACAAUGAUGAAAGCAUAUACCUUUCUUUUCAUAAGGGCAAUGCAUUCAUCUCAGUGGCUGUACAUUUGUAAAGAACAACAUGCAGUUUUAAGUCAUUCUGGACCCACAGUCCAGUGCUUCUAAGUAGUAGGCACUCUAAAAAGGCUUUGAAAAGUCUUUGACUUUAACUCCAAAAGGAGCUGCUUUGUAGCUUCAAAGCUUCCCAAGUUUGCCUGGAAUUGGGGAGGGCUCAGUAUCCUACAGGAACUUUAGAGACAACUAUCUUAUCUUCUGAUGAGCAGGUCAAGUGGCUUCACAUGGAACACACACAAACCUAGGAACUUGGUGGCUAUCUGAGCACAUUCCAGAGUAUCAGAGAAUGAAGGUUAUUUCACAGACUUAUAGACUUUGGGGGAAGGGGUAUUGGUACAGAUUAAAGUGGAUCCAUCUUUUUAGUUGGGGUAAAUUGUGGAGCAGUUGUUAGGUUUAAUACUGACACAUAGUGCAGGGCUAUUUUCCCUUCUGCCUCACUAUUCCUGCAGCUGGAAUCCAUGCUAUAGCACUGCCCUUUCCUCUCUAUAUUAUACCAACCCACUUUCAAGACUCAAGUCAUGCUGUACCAGCUUUUUCAAUUUCUUCCAACCACGGGAGCUAUCAAGACUCUCUCUUAUCUAGGCACAAAUACGUGUGUAUUUCUCAUACUCUUAUUUUAUUUUUCCAUUUGGCUUCAUCUCCUCAAUCACCUGGUAAACUGAGUUCAUAGCCCUUACUACAUACCUACAUGUUUAAUCCAUAGAUGAAUUUGUUGACUGAAGUUACCAGAACUUACCUAAAAUCUGCCAAGAACUUAUGUACAACUCCUACUGGUCACAAUUUCUGAAAAGUCGCAUACCUUCCUCAGAGUUUUCUAUCCUUCUCAGGAGAUUCAUGGGAUCCCCCUCCUCUUUAGGAUAAAGUGGACCUAAGGUAAGACCUGGACCCAAUUCUCAGCUCCACUCAGAAAUAACAGAGAGAAUGCCACAAUGUUUAAACUGUGCCUCUUUCUGCUUCUGUACAAUCAAAUAGCUAGUAGGAUAAUCUGGUCCACUGGGACCGUAGUCUCUAUAUAAGAAUUCCUCAUCUUUCCUUUUCGGGAGACCAGAAGAAUCUCCCUGAAGAUGUCAGUGAGUCAAUAAGCAGAUUUUUUUUCUUCCUUUGUUUGACACACAUGAACAAAGUUCUAUUGACUUCAGAAAAAAAAAAAAUUUGCUGUGUUGCUAUUACUUAAAGGGAAGAUAGAUUUUUCUAAUGGCCUUUUCAGGCUAACAUCUGAUUUCCUUCUCACCUCUCUGAGCUCUCAAUGCACUCUGUGCUGUCCUUUAUGGCUGUGGGAAGUCGAGCUAUGAACCAGACCUUCCUCUUUCAGAUAUGUAUGUUUCCCUUUCCACAGAAUCACUCCAUUAUUUUUAUCCCUCCCAUUCUCAUUACAACAAAGCAGGACAAGAAAUAUGCUGCUUGCAGAUAUGGUAACAUGUCACAUAUUUGACCCCAUCUGCCAACCACACAAUAGUCCUUGGCAAAGUUUUGACUGGGAACAGCAAAAAACUGAUGUUUCCUAUUUUUUACACAAAGUUGUAGAGGUAGCAUACUAAAAGACAUAAAGAAUAAGUUACAUCAUAAUUUCUAAUACCUUUGCUCCUACCAUAAUGUUUUUAACUGAUCAAUUUUUAGCAAAUGUGUAAUAGCCAAAAAAAUGUUCCCAAUAUUGAAAUUCUUUUCUGUGACUGCAAAUUCCUGUGGAACUUAUGAUUUAGAUUAUUAAAUGGAAAUUGUCUUUCUUAUUGAAUUUGAUGAAUUACACCAACAGGAAAGGAAAUAAAGUAUUUUAAAACACAGAUUAGAAAUGGCAUAGUAUCUGGAAAAGCAGUAAGAAACCAAUACAAAAGAGAUUACCUGGGAUUAAUUCAAGGUGGUAUAGUUAAGGGGAAAAAAUGGAAUUAUACUGGAAGAAAAUGGAAAAUAACUAAUUGCAUGCCUCAAUAAUGGAGAUGAGGGAUUUUAACACAGUGACAAAAAAUAUCCAUCCAGUGAAUGCACCUGAAUGCUAAAAAAAAACAGUUAUGAAAUUUCUUUAUGUAAACAAAUCUCACAAAUGGCAUGGGACCAUCAUCUGACUACCAUAAUGUAAAGUCAUUGUGUCAUAAAUUAGUGAGAUGAUUUAGUUUGAAAUGCCAUCAUAAAGUCUCUUACUUACUUUAUGAUUUCACAGCACCAAAAGUGUAUUAAUUGGAUUUGAAAAUAAAAUAGGAUACAGUGCUCUUUAAAUGAAAUCAUUUAUUCAGUCUCCUCUAAGGAAUAUAUUUGUAUUGACAGCCACUGAAGAAAUGAAAUUUCACUUUGAGGGACUAUUCAGUUAAUGACAAUUACAGCGAGGCUAAAAACAUUCACCAUAUUCAUAUAUGGAAUGCAUUCAAUAUAAUACUUUGUUUGUCCUUCCAAAAUAGCCAAAAAGGAAAGGAAGAUCUUCCCCAAUUCAAUGGGGAACCAAGAGCAUCUUAGUUCACUGCCAAAGAGCACCAGCCCUAGAGCUCAGUUCUAGGACAAGGCAGGCAUAUCUGGCCCUUUGCCUUUGAGGGUUGCAAGCCUUGAGCCCAGCUCUUCCAAGACUCUUCCCAAAGCAUGAGGACCAAGCCGGAGAACAUGAGUGAUGAAUUAUCUCUAUAGUUGGAAAGUACCCUGAGAUCACAGUUCCCAACACUAUCGUAAGACAUAAACUCAACCACAGGCUCAUGCUAUUAAUUUCAUCCCCCUGAGUCUUACCCUAAUCAACAUUAGAACAGUAAGUUUUAAAAUAAUACAGAGGACAUUUUUUUCAGAAAAGUCUGCUUGUAUCCUAUUUCUCAAAAUAGGUUGAAAGUGGUUCACCUUACAGAACAAAAAAAAAAAAUUUUACAAUAUCAAUCAAUAAGACAAACAUUACUAAAGGUACUAAAGAUAAGCAAAAUCAAGAUCAUGAAGAUCAUGAAAAAUACCUUCCUUGAAUUUCUUUUGUGACAUCCAUUCACCAGAAACACUUCACCUCUAAACUUUUAACCUCUGACUCCCAACUGUCAGAACCCUGGCACCCUUACUGAUUUGUUCUCUGGAAAAUGAUUCCUUAGGCUUGAUGUACAACUACUCAAUCUUACAUACUUAAUAGCCUACUUAGGGGUUUCCCCAGGGACAAAGAGGACAUGAGCAAGUAACAUAGUAUGAAACAAUAAUCUGCUCAUUUGGCACAUAAAUUCUCAGUUACAUGACCAGUAAGGAUAACCUUGAAUAAACAAAAAUAAUCCCAAGAUACAAAGGACAGCCCAUUUUUCCUUUUGAUGGUGACCAAGGUGGUGAUGAUUGAGAGCAUGUGUGUGUGUGUGGGGGGGUGUUCUCCUGUGCACAUAGGGACGAUGAGGUGAGGAGUGGGAAGAGAGAAGACUAGAGCUAAUUGUAUAUGAUAGAGCUUCAUAUUUACUUAUGUUUAGCAACAUUUAUUAAAGUCAUCUCCUCCUCACAUCCCACAGGCUAACACCCUAAAUAUGUGUUUAGUCAAAAGCAAUAUCUGAUCACAGAGUUUCUUCAAAUGCAAACCAGACAAAAGUCACAAUUCAGUGCACCUUGAGAUAACUUUGCUGUGUGGAGGACAACAUUCUGGGACUGGAUGUAACGGUACCUGACCUUGCAGAACAUCCUUAUGGGUCAAUCUAUAUACAUUUAGAUUCAACCCAAUGACAGUCUGAAAUUUCUUCAGAUCCUUCCUGUCCAUCUUACACUGUGACCCUUGGUACUAUGUUUAAUCAGUUAUCCUAAAGCAAAUGCAAUGAGUUUAAUGCAACAUUAAUAAUGCCAAAAACAGAUAACAGUUCACUUCUCUUUAACGACUUUUUGGUUUUCAGUGAUGUUUAAAACAGUAAAAAAGAAAAUUAAAACUUUAAAAUUCUGAGAUUGUUUUGAGGAAAACGUUUGAGUACAAAUAACUUCUUAAAAUUCAAGAAGAGAGAAUAUGUAACUUAAGAAAAUGGAAACUAUGCAAAUAUAGAUACAGAGGAAAAUGCCAUUUUCUACAGAGAAAAAUGCCAUUUUUAAAAAGUGUUUUUUUUUAAUGAUGUCAGAAUGUCUGGAGGAGGGUAGACAGGCAGAUAUAAAUCAAAGGAGAAUCUCCUUUACUCAAAUGCCACAUAUAUACACAAAUCUCAGCUACUGUGCAGUAAGGCUGUUGUGCAAUAUUCCAAGAUAAAUGACAAUAAGGUCCUAGAUCUAUAGCAGAAAUUUUCAUUCUUAAGUGUUUCACAGGAUGCCCAGCUGACUGACAAUAGGAAGAUUAGAGUAACUUAGGACAAUAUAAUUUAUGCAUUAAAACAAAUGUUCUCAAUUACUUUUAAAAAAUCUGAAUUUCAUGCUCAGAAUUUUCCAGGCUAGUAGUAGAAGAUUGAAGGGCUGCCUAGCUAUUUCAAAGAAGAAAGACUAUAAUGAUGUAUUUCUAAAUCACAAAAUUAAUUUUAGGUUGCAAUGAAGUGAUUUUGAAUAUAGUACCUAUAAAAUAAUUUAUUUCCUCUUGAACCUAGCUACUAGAAGACAAUAUUAAUAAACAACACUUUGUGUGCAGCAUGAAAGGUUUUACAUCUUGCAAAUACAGGAAAAUAAAGGGAUACAGGAAUACAGACUUUUAUGCCAGAAAAGUUCCUAUCUAGGUCUUUCAAGUCUCUGUUUAUGAUUGACCUGCUUUUUAAAUUAAUCAUUUUCAAGGCUUUUCGGGUAAAAUGUUUAAAACAUACUUUAGAGUCUUGCGCCAAGUCUUUUUUACAGCUGAUCAAUAUUUUAUACCUAAAUAAAAAUAAACUGUUCUCUUCCCCAUAAAUGCUAUCACAAAUAAAAAUAAAACUCCUUAAGAUUAAGAAAGGUCAUGAUUCACAAAGUCAAAGUAAUGAAAUCUGAAGUGGUUAUCAGUGGUUCUCAGACUUUAGCAUGCAUCAGAAUCAUCACCUGAGGUGGCAAACACAGAAUGUGAAUCCACACACUGAAUUUCUGAUUUAGAAAGUCUGGGAGGGGCUCAAGAAUCCACAGUCCUAACAAGUUCCCAGAAAUGCCUCCUCCUUUAUUGUUAAGCAGCAUGGGCACAAGACUGUUUUGAUGUAAUUUUUCCCUACUUGUCUUAACUCCUAGAUGUUCUUCUUUUCCACUGCCCAACAAGACUUGCCAGGACAAAUAAUCUUAUUGACAAAAAGUGGACAGAAAGAUGGAACCCUGCAUAUCCAGACUGUUCCAGUACAUCCCCCACCUCCAGACAGUUCCAGUGCAUUUCCAACCGCCACCCAAUCUUUCUCACUUCUCAUUACCUCCUACACACACACAAACAAAAACAAAAACAAAAAAACAUUUCUUUAAUGUGGGCUAAUCUGAACCAAUGGGAGAGAAAGGCUUGGACAAGCAAAAUUCAGACUCUAUCCUACUAAGGAACAGCUCACUGAGAAGGGUCUAUCUUAUCUGUAGCACUCCUUCAUCCCUAGAAUCCCAGCCACUCCCACUACUCAAUACAGAGUCCCUCUGAAGGCAAAAAAGCACUAAAUGAAUUCCAUCUCUGCUCAAGAAGAGCCCACCUCCUGCCAUCAGCCUAGCAGUUGAAACUGAGGAGUCCCACCACCACCACCACCACUACCCACCACCACCA